CCCUAAAUACUGUUGGGGGCAGCUUUUUGGGAGAGUUGAAGGCUCUGUGUUGGGGGGGCGGGCGGAAGCAGUACCUAAAAACUAAUUACAGUUUUGAAAUGUACAAACCUGAUGAUCUCUCCCAGUCAAAUGAGAUUUUUUAAUCUCCUGGGAAUUCGCUGUAAAAUUCUUCAUCGUGAAGUAAUGUUAGGUUUUGUUUUGUUUUAAACUGCUGUAAAAUUGCUGAAGAACCAGGGAGAUUUUCUUCUUUCCCCACUUCUCCCUCCCACGUCCAAAUAUGAGAGUUUGGCAGCUGUGCAGAGAGGAUCUUGUGUAUGUUUUUGUUUUUCACAAAUGGUGGAGGAAAAUUGGACAAGUCAGAUGAAAAGCAGCAUUUUCAACUCUUCCCCAGAUCAGGAUGCACAGUAACAGAGAUCCAAAGCAGCGUCAAUAAACCACGUACUUUGAAAAGGUGCUGGGCCUCUGAAAGGGGUUGGAACACCUGCAGUAGUGAACACUAACUG
rnacentral:lncRNA from 1 species